rnacentral:rRNA from 1 species
ACGGAGGAUCCAAGCGUUAUCCGGAAUCAUUGGGUUUAAAGGGUCCGUAGGCGGUUUUAUAAGUCAGUGGUGAAAUCUGGUCGCUCAACGAUCAAACGGCCAUUGAUACUGUAGAACUUGAAUUAUUAGGAAGUAACUAGAAUAUGUAGUGUAGCGGUGAAAUGCUUAGAUAUUACAUGGAAUACCAAUUGCGAAGGCAGGUUACUACUAAUAUAUUGACGCUGAUGGACGAAAGCGUGGGUAGCGAACAGG